rnacentral:tRNA from 1 species
UGUUUUUGGCCGAGCGGUUAAGGCGUUGGACUCAAGAUCCAAUGGACAAAAGUCCUCGUGGGUUCAAACCCCACUCCUGGUAAAGCAA